GGGGAAGAGCUGUGGCUCAGUGGCAGGCCGUCUGCUUUGCACGCAGAAGGCCGUGAGUUCAAUUCCCAGCUUCUCCA
rnacentral:tRNA from 1 species